AGGGUUUGAUUCUGGCUCAGGAUGAACGCUAGCGGCAGGCCUAAUACAUGCAAGUCGAGGGGUAAGAGUCAGCUUGCUGACUACACGACCGGCGCACGGGUGAGUAACGCGUAUGCAACCUACCUUUAACAGAGGAAUAGCCCCGAGAAAUCGGGAUUAAUACCACAUAACAUUAUGAUAUGGCAUCAUAUUAUAAUUAAAACUCUGGUGGUUAAAGAUGGGCAUGCGUGACAUUAGCUUGUUGGUGAGGUAACUGCUCACCAAGGCAACGAUGUCUAGGGGUUCUGAGAGGAUGAUCCCCCACACUGGUACUGAGACACGGACCAGACUCCUACGGGAGGCAGCAGUAAGGAAUAUUGCGCAAUGGAGGAAACUCUGACGCAGCCAUGCCGCGUGCAGGAUUGAAGGCCUUAUGGGUCGUAAACUGCUUUUAUUUAGGAAUAAACUUUCGUACGUGUACGAAACUGAAGGUACUAAACGAAUAAGCACCGGCUAACUCCGUGCCAGCCGCCGCGGUAAUAC
rnacentral:rRNA from 1 species